rnacentral:lncRNA from 1 species
GGGACUUUACACUGAAGUAGGCAUCCUGAUUGCUGCUUUCAUUAAUAUGGAUUCAAAACUAGUUGAUCACUGUGGUCCUUUUCAACCCAGGCCAUUGUACGAUUCUGUGACUGACGAUGGCCCCACCAGCUCACAAAACAUAAGCAUGAACCAAGCACCAUGUGAGCCCUGCUGGUGUAACAGGCUGCCUGAGAGUGAACACACCGUGAGAAGAACUUGGCUCAGCAGGCCCAAGCCAAAAAGGAAAGCAAGGAUGUACAGAAGAAUGCGGAUCACUGAGAUGUCAGAUCAGCUACUCUGCUUUGUGACUACAGAGAAUAAAGGAGGAUGGCAGAUCCUGCACUUCCCAGCUAAGUGCUUUUGAUCAGUGGUCAACACGGUGAUGAAUGCUUUUCCAUCGCACCCUUCAUCCCAUGCAUUUUCAAGGCUGCUUAGAGGUGGGAAGGCAAGAAGAAAGAAUACUGUGAUCCGACAGAAUUCAAUUUCCUGAAAAAAAUAAAUCUUUUUUUUUUUUUCCCUAUGACCUAAAUGGAAAACAUAUUGUUCUGAAAGUGCUGUUCAAACUGAAUUACCGAAACCUUUUAUCAACAAAGAGGCCGUCAUAUAUCAGACAUCUGGUGGGGAUGUCAAUUAUAAUAAUUAAUUAGACAUCUCCCCAGAUGCCUGACACUACAUUCUGUCAGCAGAUUUUUUGACUUCAAUCAAAACUGCUGCUGCAUUAUGCAUGAAACUCAUGGAGUAGUUGGGAGUCGAGGAGAUCAGCUACAAAUCACAGCCAAGCACACGGAAGGCCUCCUGGUUCUGAUGGCUUCUACCACUUUUGAAGGCUGCCAAGAGAAGGUCACAUGCACUGAUUUCUUCUCUUUCCUUAACGUUUUCAAGUGCAUCACACUUUUUCACGCAGGCAUUCAAACGAAAAAGAGGAGUGGUGAGGAAUAUCAUUCAUAAACCAAAGGGAAGGGCUGCCGCUGCGUCCCUGUGGUGGGGAAGAAGGAAGUCCCACGUGCAGUCACCAAUCCGAAGUGCAACCACAAUGGAGCAUCUUCAUUUGUUCCUCCUGUGACCAUACCAGCAGCACUGGUUUAGCACCACAGAAGGAGACAGAAGAAGACGGCCCUGCAUCAUUUUCUUCUCUAUAUUUUUUAAUUCUUCCUUUUUUUUUUCAUAAUUAAAUGGAAAAUAAAUUAAUUCCUGGGUUAUUU